rnacentral:rRNA from 1 species
AGUGAACGCUGGCGGCAGGCCUAACACAUGCAAGUCGAGCGGCAGCGCGGGGGCAACCCUGGCGGCGAGCGGCGGACGGGUGAGGAAUUCGUCGGAAUCUGCCUUUUUGUGGGGGAUAACGUAGGGAAAGUUACGCUAAUACCGCAUACGUCCUACGGGAGAAAGUGGGGGACCGCAAGGCCUCACGCAGAAAGAUGAGCCGACGACCGAUUAGCUAGUUGGUGGGGUAAAGGCCCACCAAGGCGACGAUCGGUAGCUGGUCUGAGAGGAUGAUCAGCCACACUGGGACUGAGACACGGCCCAGACUCCUACGGGAGGCAGCAGUGGGGAAUAUUGGACAAAGGGCGCAAGCCUGAUCCAGCCAUGCCGCGUGUGUGAAGAAGGCCUUCGGGUUGUAAAGCACUUUUGUCCGGAAAGAAAUCCCUGGAGCUAAUACCUUCGGGGGAUGGCGGUACCGGAAGAAUAAGCACCGGCUAACUUUGUG